AUCUUUAGGCUCUUCAUUAGUUUUAUCCCCAUUCUUUGCUCUUCGUAUGGCAUGAAUUCUGUGCUGAAUUUGGGACUGAGUACAUUGGGAGCGAGCCUGGAAAUCAGGAGAAGCAGAGUUGCUUUUCUUCUCCGUUAUUCUGAUCCUUUGUGACUCCCGGUAAGUCCUUCGGUGCCUCUGAUUCUUCCUUCAUUUUUUCUUGACUAGGGCAAGCUCCUCAAGGAUUCUGUGCUCACAGGAUGAUUUGAACAAUGGAUCUAUUUGUAGCCUAGGUGGUACCAUGGUUCCCAAAUGGUGUAUGCUUUCCAAACGAGAAAAGCUUUCAUCAGAAAUAUGAUGCAUUUUCGUGAUCUGAUACGUUCAUUUACAGGUUUGUCCAUAAAUAUUUUUGCAGCUACACAGAGGGGAAAAUGAAUAUGGUCUUACAUACUUCACUUCUUCACGGAUGUUUGUAUGCUACCUUCCCUUCUGGGCUGUCUUAUUUAUUGUCUGUGCUGUGUGUUUGCUUGCAAAUCUGAAUCUUUCUCUACAGAUGCAGAGACUCUUAACUCCUUUCUCAUGGAGCAAACCAUCCAUCAGCACAUUUUGCCUUGAGGUCUGCAGAAUGUCAGGUUUGGGUCAGUUAGCAUUGUCUUCAGUGCCUAAAUCUUUGAAAACAAGUUCAUACUGUCAAUUUCUUGAAACAAUUCUGCAAUUGGUAGAUAUUCAUGUAGAUUAUACUCUCAUUAUCAUUAGACUGUUUAACCCAACAUUCUUAACCUUUCUUGUUAGGAUGGCUGAAACUAAGGACUGGUCCUCAGAUGAAGCAGUGGGUGAGGUUGGCUGAUCUUCGUGCUCUAGAAUGAUACAUCUUCUUAUUAGGAAAAGGUUUUGGGUGCUGUUCUUGUUUGGGUGUCUGGCUGCUGAGAAAGAUGCUUUGAAUGUACAGUCGUUUGUAAACAUGGAGUGGCAGAUGCAUUCAGUUAAAAUGUAAUUCCAGGCUUGUGGCUUACCCUUGAAAUGCUUUCUUCCAUCUAGCAGCACUACUGAGCUCUCAGUCUGAAGUUGAGCCAGCUGUCUGUCUUCCAGAUCCUUUCAAGCAAGUCUACGUUUGGUAUGGUUUUGCUUGUACCUGAUUCUGGUGAAUAACAGUAAAAGCUGGGGAAUGUGUGAAGAGGAUCUGAUGUUGCACUCUGAAGGCAGAACUAUGAAGAGAGAGUUUCAAGUAUCCAGCUUUUUUCACAGUGCUGUGACUAACUCUCCAUUUUAAAAAGCUUAUCUGGAUGUUGCCAAGGACACUUCUACUUCCUGGAUUGCUUUGCCUUUGGUGGAACAGGACGGAGUAGCUACGCUGCAUCAUUCAGGCAGAACAUGGUAUAGCUAAAAGCCAGUAUUGGUAGUUCUGCUCUUCCAAACGUUAAAAUGUAGAAAGGUGCUACAUUUUACAGAAAUAAAGGGGUAAAUGAAUUGGGGGGAAAAAAAAGAAAAACUUUCAUGCAUAAUUACAUAGAAAUUCUAUGUGUAAAAAGAAGCAUGAAUUGACCAUUCUAUUGACCUCCAGUAGAAUUUUCUGUUAGCUAAGAUCUAUGUAUUAAAGCCAAAGCCCAUCCCAGAUUCAUCCAUCAGUCCUGCUUGCGGAGUUUUACUGUAAUGAUUCAUUCAGGAUUUCAACUUUUGGAGAUGACUACUUAGUACUUUUGGCUUAGAUUUUUACUGCUUGUAAAGCUUGGUGUAUAGGCUUAUCAUUUCAGAAAUAACAUGAACUAGGUUAUGAGAUCAUUGUGAAAGAUUCUUCAUUAACUGUCAUACAACGCUCAUGGAACUAUAUUAUUUCAGGGGAUUUUUUCCUCAUUUCUCCCAGGAGAAAUUUUCAAGCUGGUGGGUUCUGAUAUAAAAUAUAUACAAUACUCAUUUUGUGCUCAAAGUUUCUUGAUAUAAAGAUCACUAGAUUAGAUUGCACAUACUUUUAGGGGGAAAAUAUUUUAGUUUGGAAACUGUAUUAAAGUGAAUGUAUCUCAAAAAUUAAAUCAUAGUAUGUGUGUGAUUAGAUAUGUAAUCUAAGUAUAUUUCAAAAUAUUAUACCAGACAUGUUACCUAACUCAAUCUACAUGCAUUGCUUUGGCAAGUUCAGAGUUUGCCUAAUAGGCUGAAGUCAAGAGAUAAGAAUAGCUUGUUCAGCAUGUCCAGACAAUGUAGUUAUGAAGGAAAG
rnacentral:lncRNA from 7 species